AUGCGACACACCCCUUUUCGACCUCCUAUAUCGCCUCUGACUUGCUACGUCAAAGCACUAUGUCUAUUGCCUAUUCAUCAUCAUGGAAUCAACACCACAGAAAACAAUCACGAGUACGAAGUAGAGAGGCCAGGUUCACCUCAACAAGCUCCUCCUUGGCUUCAUCCAUGCCCUGGACAUUGUCAAAAUCCCACCCGCUGCUUCCUGAGCAGGCAACGCUUGUCUGCAAUGCCCCGAGCGGACAUCUGCCUCUGUAACAACCACAUCAUCUGCAACAGUGAAAACCACAGCGUGAGCAGUGUCCACCAGCAGCUUCCCCGCCGGCCGUGGAGCAAAUCGGUAGUCCACCACGCCCUCCCGCCUAGCCCCAGCAGGAACCCCUCCUCGUGUGGCACCCUCCUGGCGUAG
rnacentral:rRNA from 1 species